GCCACUUGAUCAAAGAUCAAAGGGUCCAGAAAAAAGCAUAAAAGAUAGUGUAAAUUGCAGGAAGCACAGUGACCGUUAGAUCAAAGAUCUAACGGUUCAAACAGAAGAUAUACCAUAUUUCACACAAAAAGUCAUGCACAGGAUUCAAAAUCAAACACACAGCAGCCAUCAGAUCUUGGAACAAUCCAGAUCUGAUGGUUCACAGAGCGAGGGAACACAACAAGAGCACGCACGCGCGCGCGUGGGAUCGGAGGGAGUAUAAAAAGGAUUUUCUUCACAAAAAAAACACAAAACCUUUCCUCUUCUCUCUCUAAGUUAAACUUAGAGAGAGAAGCUCUCCCUUCUCUCUAAAAAGGUGGCGGCCGGAGCUGAUAUGGAGGUGGCGGCCGGAGCUUUUCCGGCGCGGUCGCCGGCCGGUUUCCGGCGGCGGCGCCCACGCGUCGGAAUUUUUUUAUAUUUUUUUUUUCAAAAUUGGGAUACCAAAAGCUUCGUUUCCUCCUCCUCUACACAAAUCCGGCACUAGUUUUAGCGAGAAAGGUUCGGUUCGGACUAGAUCUACAUUUUUCUUUGAAAAUUUUUUCACGCUUUUUUGAAAAAAAAACCA
rnacentral:lncRNA from 1 species